ensembl:lncRNA
CAAAAAGCCCCCAAAUGGCCCCAAAUUCCCCCCCCCCGACCCCCCAAAUUGCCCCAAAUCGGCCCCAAAUCGACCCCAAAUUUGGCCCCCACCGUCCGACGGCGGCGCCUCCUUCAGGUGGGGGUCGGCAGUGCUGUCCUUCCUGCGGAGAAACCCCAUAGAGACCCCAUAGAGACCCCAUAGGGACCCCAUAGGGACCCCAUAGGGACCCAUAGAGACCCAUAGAGACCCCAUAGAUAACCAUAGAGACACCAUAGGGAUCCAUAGAGACCCAUAGAGACCCCAUAGAUAACCAUAGAGACACCAUAGGGAUCCAUAGAGACCCAUAGAGACCCCAUAGAUAACCAUAGAGACCCAUAGAGACCCCAUAGAUAACCAUAGAGACCCAUAGGGAUCCAUAGGGACCCCAUAGAGAGCCCAUAGAGACCCAUAGAGACCCAUAGAGACCCAUAGAGACCCCACAGGGAUCCAUAGAGACCCCAUAGAGACCCAUAGGGAUCCAUAGAGACCCAUAGAGACCCCAUAGAGACCCAUAGGGAUCCAUAGAGACCCAUAGAGACCCAUAGGGAUCCAUAGAGACCCAUAGAGAUCCCAUAGAGACUCAUAGGGACCCCAUAGAAACCCAUAGAGACCCAUAGGGACACCAUAGAAACCCAUAGAGACCCAUAGGGAUCCAUAGAGACCCCACAGAGACUCAUAGAGACCCCAUAGAAACCCAUAGAGACAUAGGGACCCAUAGAGACACAUAGAGACACAUAGGGACCCAUAGAGACCCAUAGAGACUCCACAGAGACACAUAGAGACCCAUAGAAACCCAUAGAGACCCAUAGAGACCCAUAGAGAGCCCAUAGAAACCCAUAGAGACCCAUUGAGAUCCCAUAGGGAUCCAUAGAGACCCCAUAGAGACACAUAGAGACCCCAUAGAGACCCACAGAGACACACAGAGACCCCAUAGAGACCCCAUAGAGAUCCAUAGAGACCCCAUAGAGACACAUAGAGACCCAUAGGGACACAUAGAGACCCAUAGAGCCCCCAUAGAGACCCAUAGGGACCCAUAGGGACACAUAGAGACCCAAUAGAGACCCAUAGAGACCCAUAGAGCCCCCAUAGAGACCCAUAGGGACCCAUAGAGACCCAUGGAGACCCUAUAGAGACCCAAUAGAAACCCAUAGAGACCCAUAGGGACCCCAUAGAAACCCAUAGAGACCCAUAGAGAUCCCAUAGGGAUCCAUAGAGACCCCAUAGAGACACAUAGAGACCCCAUAGAGACCCACAGAGACACACAGAGACCCCAUAGAGACCCCAUAGAGAUCCAUAGAGACCCCAUAGGGACCCAUAGAGACCCAUAGAGACUCCACAGAGAUCCAUAGAGACCCAUAGAAACCUCUAGAGACCCAUAGAGACCCCACAGAAACCCAUAGAGACCCAUAGGGACACCAUAGAAACCCAUAAAGACCCAUAGGGACCCAUAGAGACCCAUAGGGAUCCAUACAGACCCCAUAGAGACUCAUAGGGACCCAUAGAGACCCCACAGAGAUCCAUAGAGACCCCAUAGAGACACAUAGAGACACAGAGAAACCCAUAGGGACACACAGAGACCCCAUAGGGACCCAUAGGAACCCAUAGAGACCCCACAGAGACCCAUAGAGACCCCAUAGAGAUCCAUAGAGACCCCAUAGAGACCCCAUAGGGAUCCAUAGGGAUCCAUAGAGACCCAUAGGGAUCCAUAGAGACCCAUAGAGAUCCCAUAGAAACCCAUAGAGACCCAUAGGGACACCAUAGAAACCCAUAGAGACCCAUAGGGACCCAUAGAGACCCACAGAGAUCUAUAUGGACCCAUACAGACCCCAUAGAGACCCACAGAGACACCAUAGAGACCUAUAGGGAUCCAUAGAGACCCAUAGUGACCCCAUAGAGACCCAAUGGAAACCCAUAGAGACCCAUAUGGACCCAUAGAGACCCAUAGAGACCCCAUAGAGACCCAUAGAGACCCAUAGAGACCCCAUAGGGACCCAUAGAGACCCAUAGAGAUCCAUAUGGACCCAUAGAGACCUCAUAGAGACCCAUAGGGACCCAUAAGGACACAUAGAGACCCCAUAGACACCAAUAGAGACCCCAUAGGGAUCCACAGAGACCCAUAGGAACCCCAUAGAGACCCAUAGGGACCCAUAGAGGCCCCAUAGAGACCCAUAGAGACCCAUAGGGACCCAUAGAUACCCAUAGAGACCCAUAGAGACCCCAUAGAGCCCCAUAGGGACCCAUAGAGACCCCAUAGAAACCCAUAGAGACCCAUAGGGACCCAUAGAAACCCAUAGAGAUCCAUAUGGACCCAUAGAGACCCCAUAGAGACCCACAGAGACACCAUAGAGACCCAUAGGGAUCCACAGAGACACCAUAGAGACCCCAUAGAGACUCAUAGAGACCCCAUAGAAACCCACGGAGACCCAUAGGGACCCAUAGAGACCCACAGAGACCCACAGAGACCCAUAGAGACCCAUAGGGACCCAUAGAGACCCACAGGGACCCAUAAGAACACAUAGAAACCCCAUAGAGACUCAUAGGGACCCAUAGAGACCCCAUAGAGACCCAGAGGGACCCAUAGAGACACAUAGGGACACAUAGAGACACCAUAGAGACCCAUAGAGACCCCAUAGGGAUCCACAGAGACCCCAUAGAAAUCUAUAUGGACGCAUAGAGACCCCAUAGAGACCCAUGGAGACACAUAGAGAUCCAUAGGGACCUCAUAGAGACCCCAUAGAGAUCCAUAGGGACCCAUAGAGACCCAUAGAGACCCAUAGAGACCCCAUAGAGACUCAUAGGGACCCAUAGAGACCCCAUAGAGACCCCAUAGAGCCCCAUAGGGACCCAUAGAGACCCAUAGAGACCCAUAGAGACCCCAUAGAGACUCAUAGGGACCCAUAGAGACCCCACAGAGACUCAUAGAGACCCCAUAGAAACAUCAUAGAAACCCAUAGAGACCCAUAGGGACCCAUAGAGACCCAUAGAGACCCAUAGGGACCCAUAGAGACCCAUAGAGACCCAUAAAGACACAUAGAGCCCCAUAGAGACCCUUUGGGGUCACAGCCGGGGAUCAUUCAUUGGGGUCCCUCAUUGGGGUCAUUCAUUGGGGUCAUUAACUGGGGUCAUUAAUUGGGGUGACUAAUUAGCAUGGCUAAUUGGGGUCACAUUGGGGUCCCUUUGGGGUCACAGAUGGGGAUCAUUCAUUGGGGUUCCUCAUUGAGGCCAUUCAUUGGGGUCAUUAAUUGGGGUCCCUAUUAAUUGGGGUCAUUAACUGGGGUCAUUAAUUGGGGUGACUAAUUAGCAUGGCUAAUUGGGGCCACCUUAUGAACACAGAUUGGGGGCCCUUUGGGGUCACAGAUGGGGAUCAUUCAUUGGGGUCCCUCAUUGAGGCCCUUAAUUGGGGUCAUUAAUUGGGGUCAUUAACUGGGGUCAUUAAUUGGGGUGACUAAUUAGCAUGGCUAAUUGGGGUCACAUUGGGGUCCCUUUGGGGUCACAGAUGGGGAUCAUUCAUUGGGGUCCCUCAUUGGGGUCAUUCAUUGGGGCCAUUCAUUGGGGCCAUUCAUUGGGCUCAUUAAUUGGGGUUCCCCGUUAAUUGGGGUUAAUUAAUAGUGCCGACUCACUCUCCGCCCCCCCCCCGCGGCUCUGGGGCGGCUCUGUGUGCCCAGGGGGGGUCGCAGCGCUCCCGCAGCGUGGCUCAGAGCAUGGCACCACCUGGGGGGGGACCCCAAAAAUGAGACCCCCCCCAAAUUGGG